AGAGUUUGAUCAUGGCUCAGAAUCAACGCUGGCGGCGUGCCUCAUACAUGCAAGUCGAACGCGAAAGCAACCUUCGGGUUGCAAUUAGAGUGGCAGACGGGUGAGUAACGCGUGGGUGACCUACCUUCGAGUGGGGGAUAACCCCUGUAAUGGGGGCUAAUACCGCAUAACAUCCUGUUCUUAGAUGGACAGUGAUCAAAGCUGGCCAAGCUUCGGCUUGGCUGGUGCUUGUUGACGGACCCGCGUCCGAUUAGCUUGUUGGUGGGGUAAUGGCUCACCAAGGCUUCGAUCGGUAGCCGGCCUGAGAGGGCGGACGGCCACACUGGGACUGAGACACGGCCCAGACUCUUACGGGAGGCAGCAGUAGGGAAUUGUUCGCAAUGGGCGAAAGCCUGACGGCGCAACGCCGCGUGGAGGAUGAAGAUCUUCGGGUUGUAAACUCCUGUCGGGAGGGAAGAAUAGCCUGUGGGUUAAUACCCCAUAGGCCUGACGGUACCUCUAGAGGAAGCCCCGGCUAACUCCGUGCCAGCAGCCGCGGUAAUACGGGGGGGGCGAGCGUUGUUCGGAUUUACUGGGCGUAAAGGGCUUGUAGGCGGCGACCUAUGUCGGUUGUGAAAUCCCCAGGCUCAACCUGGGAACUGCAGCCGAAACUGGGUCACUAGAAGCCGGGAGAGGGAUGCGGAAUUCCAGGUGUAGCGGUGAAAUGCGUAGAUAUCUGGAGGAAC
rnacentral:rRNA from 1 species